CCUGAUCUAGCCAUGCCGCGUGAGUGAUGAAGGCCUUAGGGUCGUAAAGCUCUUUCGCCAGGGAUGAUAAUGACAGUACCUGGUAAAGAAACCCCGGCUAACUCCGUGCCAGCAGCCGCGGUAAUACGGAGGGGGUUAGCGUUGUUCGGAAUUACUGGGCGUAAAGCGCACGUAGGCGGAUUAGAAAGUUAGAGGUGAAAUCCCAGGGCUCAACCCUGGAACUGCCUUUAAAACUGCUAGUCUUGAGUUCGAGAGAGGUGAGUGGAAUUCCAAGUGUAGAGGUGAAAUUCGUAGAUAUUUGGAGGAACACCAGUGGCGAAGGCGGCUCACUGGCUCGAUACUGACGCUGAGGUGCGAAAGUGUGGGGAGCAAACAGGAUUAGAUACCCUGGUAGUCCACACCGUAAACGAUGAAUGCCAGACGUCGGGUAGUAUACU
rnacentral:rRNA from 1 species